rnacentral:rRNA from 1 species
GUCGGGUAAGUUCCGACCUGCACGAAUGGCGUAACGAUGGCCACACUGUCUCCACCAGAGACUCAGUGAAAUUGAAAUUGCGGUUAAGAUGCCGUAUACCCGCGGCUAGACGGAAAGACCCCGUGAACCUUUACUACAACUUUGCACUGGAUUCUGAAUUUGUUUGUGUAGGAUAGGUGGGAGCCUUUGAAACGGUCACGCCAGUGAUCGUGGAGGCAACCUUGAAAUACCACCCUGAUAAAUUUGGAAUUCUAACCUAGGCCCGUUAUCCGGGUCAGGGACAUUGUAUGGUGGGUAGUUUGACUGGGGCGGUCUCCUCCCAAAUUGUAACGGAGGAGCACGAAGGUACACUAAGUAUGGUCGGACAUCAUACGGUUAGUGCAAUGGCAAAAGUGUGCUUGACUGCGAGACAGACACGUCGAGCAGGUACGAAAGUAGGUCAUAGUGAUCCGGUGGUUCUGUAUGGAAGGGCCAUCGCUCAACGGAUAAAAGGUACUCCGGGG